rnacentral:lncRNA from 1 species
AGCCACUCCACUGCUCUUCCUCCUCGCUCAUCUUCCUUCGGCCUCUCAUCACCAACGUCUCAUCGUUAUCGCCAUCACUGUCGCCAUUGCUAUCCCUAAGGACAUCUAGUAAGAGAUUACCAAUAGCGACGUCGAGAGCCGUUGGAGUGAAAAAUAGUCUCGACUGAGCUUUGCUAGGGUAUUCCUUUGAGUAUUCAUUUGUCAAAUUGAUCUCUGACCAACUAUUCUCAUCUCUUUUUUUACAGUAGAGUAGAGCCGACUUGGGAGCCUCUCCAACUGUCGUCGAAACCUCACCAUCAUCUAUAUCUUGGUAAGGC